rnacentral:lncRNA from 1 species
GGAGUGAAGGAAUGCUUAUUGGAUCCAGUUCGGGCAGUUCACGUGAAAACAGCAAUGUGGUUACUGUGAACAAGAUGAAAUGGUUGCAUUUUCUGAGAGCUGCAAUGUAAAAUGUUUCUGGAAAUUGGCCUUAUUGCCCAUUGAGAAUUUUAAUCAGGUAGAACUUAAACCAUGCAUCAGAACCACUAGCUCACUAGUAGUCCACGAGGUGGCAGUAUUACUUUGAAAACCAUGAGAAACCUGCUUUUUCAGUAGCCUUUUCUCUCAAUCAAGUUUGUGGUGCUGAGUCGUUGUAAGGUGAGUUCUCUCAGAAAACAAUGAAGAUAAUUGGUUAUUGUAAUGUUGACACAGUGGGUUCAGAAGUCAUCAAUAAUUAUUAGAUGCUAGCCAGAAAUGUGGAAACAAAACCUAACCAACACCCAUUUUUAAUUAAAGAUGGAACUUUUUGACAAUGUAGAAAAAUGGAA